UAAUAGCUCACUGGUCGAGUCGGCCUGCGCGGAAGAUGUAACGGGGCUAAACCAUGCACCGAAGCUGCGGCAGCGACGCUUAUGCGUUGUUGGGUAGGGGAGCGUUCUGUAAGCCUGUGAAGGUGUGUUGUGAGGCAUGCUGGAGGUAUCAGAAGUGCGAAUGCUGACAUAAGUAACGAUAAAGCGGGUGAAAAGCCCGCUCGCCGGAAGACCAAGGGUUCCUGUCCAACGUUAAUCGGGGCAGGGUGAGUCGAC
rnacentral:rRNA from 1 species